AUAACUGAAAAGCAGUUCUUUAAAAAGGAGAACCACUCUGCUUUAUUUAAACUUCACAAAUUAGUUUUGUCUCUCAGGUUGGAUAUGAAGCUGGAAUAGGAUGAAGAGCUGAAGGAAUUACUCUGCAGUCCCACAGAGCUAUGUCUGUUUUCCUGGCUGAGUUUCCCUUAAGCUGAGUUUCCUGUCUGUAAAAGGCUCUGGAUCUGACUUUCUCCAGGAUCUUUCUUCUACUCUCCAUCUUCCAAUGUCUUUAGGAAGAUCACUCCAGGAAAAGUUUGGAAGAUGGACCAGGCAGGAGCCAUUCAAAAAGUCAAGGACAGCAGCAACUCCAAAUGGUCCCCCACCUAACCCAUUCACAUCUUGCCCUUUAGAAACAUUAGACUGUCCCGGACUUUUCCCAUCUACACCCUGCUCUAUCUUCCUGCCUUUUUUUUUUUGUACACUUCUCACUUAACAUGCUGC
ensembl:lncRNA